UACGAAGGGGGCUAGCGUUGUUCGGAAUUACUGGGCGUAAAGCGCGCGCAGGCGGUCUUCCAAGUCAGUGGUGAAAGCCCGGAGCUCAACUCCGGAACUGCCAUUGAAACUGUAAGACUUGAGGACGAGAGAGGUGAGUGGAAUUCCCAGUGUAGAGGUGAAAUUCGUAGAUAUUGGGAAGAACACCAGUGGCGAAGGCGGCUCACUGGCUCGUAUCUGACGCUCAGGCGCGACAGCGUGGGGAUCAAACAGG
rnacentral:rRNA from 1 species